GGGUGGCCAUGUUAACAGAACGUGGCUGCGAUUAUGGGUGCCCCUGAUGUGGCCUGCGCGCGUGCUUUCCGCAGGAUGCCGCGCGGCCGUCCGCACGACCACAGGGAGCAGCAGCGAACCGAUACGUUUCCUUUUGAACAUCAGCAGUUCAUCAGAUCGCAGGAGAUGCUAUCCAGCUCCAAGGUGAUGCUGAUUAAAGAAAUACAACAUCAAGCAUCAAGCCCUCUUUUCAAAAUGGUCUGAAUUCUGGGCAGUAAGACACAAAAGCGUCCUUAGACAUGAUAAAGACCCAGGGAGUCGUGGAGGGCAGAGGGGAAGGUCAGGGUCUCUAUCCUGGGGCCAAUCCAUCACCGAGAAACGGCACCGUCCAAUGAACAAGAAGCUCAGGAUGCCCUUAGCCAAUCGGAAUGGAUGAGCAGGGUGAUGGAGGCCAACGCCGGCUUUAUUCCCACUGAACCCCACGGCAGAGAAGGAUGGAGCCCUGAAGGUGUCAUUGCAGCCCACUGCUACAGAGGUGUCUGCUGACAGGCCCGGAGAAGCUGCCACACCCCGCCUAGGAGAUGAGGAACACACUCAGCCAGUCAAAACCGGCUCCGGCUGCUGCUUCUCGCUAACAUCUGUGAAAAUCCGUCUCAUGGAUAAGGGAAUAUCGACUCCCUUUUGAGCAGUGCACAGCUCUUUACAUAAGCUAUUUACAUACAUGUGAAGACUCUUAGCAAAUCAUUCAUAAUGCUUUUCUUCUUAUUUGUAAUAGUAUCUUCAUUUUCUUAAUUCUUCCAGCAUAAUGAAUCCUUUUGUUGCACUUUCAGACUAAAUAAAUUCGCUUGCACACAUUACAUUUAGUAAAUUAAGCAGUGUUGCAAUUAUCACAAAAUAUAAUUCACUCGUGACAAACUACCUUUUCAUCAAGGUCCCAGUUUUUUGUUUUUUUUUUACGCUACUCUUCAUAAUUUGUAUUCAGUUUCACACAUAAAGGCUAAUUUACUGACCUCGUCACCCAUCAAGGUAAAAGUCAGUACUGUGAUAAUAUACAAGAGUAUGCUUAGAUGUCACAUGAAAAAAGUCAAUCUAAUGCUUUUUUGCAUGCAAACCUGGAACAAAUUGGCAUUUUCAAAUGCUAAAUAUACAAGUAAUUGCCCCUGUGCAGCUGUACGCGGGACUUUGAAGUUGGGAGUAAUUGACUGAAAACUCCAGACAUUAACUAAUUGCUUUUUUCUGGCUGCUGUCUUCCCCAUGGUGUG